rnacentral:rRNA from 1 species
UGCGCAGGCGGUUAUGUAAGACAGAGGUGAAAUCCCCGGGCUCAACCUGGGAACGGCCUUUGUGACUGCAUGGCUAGAGUACGGUAGAGGGGGAUGGAAUUCCGCGUGUAGCAGUGAAAUGCGUAGAUAUGCGGAGGAACACCGAUGGCGAAGGCAAUCCCCUGGACCUGUACUGACGCUCAUGCACGAAAGCGUGGGGAGCAAACAGGAUUAGAUACCCUGGUAGUCCACGCCCUAAACGAUGUCAACUGGUUGUUGGGUCUUAACUGACUCAGUAACGAAGCUAACGCGUGAAGUUGACCGCCUGGGGAGUACGGCCGCAAGGCUGAA